AUUUUCUAGGGUUGUACCGUGGCACAUGGAGGUUCCCAGGCUAGGGGUCCAAUAGGAGCUGUAGCCACCAGUCUACACCAUAGCCACAGCAAUGCAGGAUCCAAGGUGUGUCUCUGAUCUACACCACAGCUCACAGCAAUGGCGGAUCAUUAACCCACAGAGUAAGGCCAGGGAUUGAAUCCACAACCUCGUGGUUCCUAGUUGGAUUUGUUAACCACCGAGCCGUGACGGGAACUCCUACUUUCUUUUACAAAGACAUCAAUAUUUAUGAUCUCACUGGUUUCACUAAUUCAACUAUCAUUUAGUGAACACCUACCUUGUGACAAGUUAUGCUAUAAGUACUGAAGAUAAAAAAUUAAAUAACACUCUGUCUUUUCCUCACACUAGAUGGUAGGUGCUCUCCUCAGAGCCUGCUGCAUCCCUCAGGGCCCCAGAGAUGCUGAUUUCUGAGUCCUCACUUCCUUAGGAGGGUAAUGCUCCCCUUGCCUUCCUUGCCUUUCAGGAUUAGAAGAUUGAGUUAUGGAGAUCUGAGUUCUGGUCUCUCUGGCAUCAGGCCAUUCUGAAAGGUCCUUUCCUUUCAGGCAGAAAACCGACAAAGUCAGGCACUUUGCUCUGAGGCUUUCAUUUGCGUUUCUAAGUUGAUUGCCUAAAACUGAGACCACUUUCCCUGUGGGGAGAGGGAUGGACUGGGCUUCUUAAAGUGUGUGUGUGUGUGUGUGUGUGUGUGUGUGUGUGUGUGUGUGUGUGUGUGUGAGAAGAGAGGGCAGAGUGUGGGUGGGGUAAUAGGACCCUGUGUCCUUCUUUGAUGUUGUCCCCUUAGGGAGCCCUUAUUAGAGCCUUCUCUAGCCUUCUUCUCUCUAGUCCCUUGUAACUAGCUUCACCUCUGUCACUUUCUCCUUUCACUCCACUGGCCUCCAAGGUGUUUAGCCAGCCAAGCUUGCUCCCUCCUUAUGGCCUUUAUGUUCUGUGUCCCUUCUGUGUGGGCCACUCUCCCCUGAGUCAUGAGGUUAACCUCUGACUUCCUUCAGGUCUUUACUCACCUUCUCUGUGAGGCCUUCCAUGGCCACUCUUUCAAAACUGUCAGCCUUUCAUCCCGAUGCUCUAUACAUUUCCCUGCUCUACUAUGUCUCCUGAGCACUCACUAUUGUUUACUUAAUUUCUGCUAGAAACAGAGCGGAAUGGACAAUAAAAGACAGAUAAUCUCCAGGGGAACAUGGAUUUUUGUCUGUUUGUUUCUUUCUUUUUUUUCUUUUUACAGCUGCACCUGUGGCACAUGGAAGAUCCAGGGCUAGGGCCUGAACCAAAGCUGCAGCUGAGCCCUAUGCCACAGCCAUGGCAACAUCUAAAACCUGUGCUGCAGCUUAUGGCAGUGCUGGAUCUUUAACACAGUGAGUGAGGCUAGGGUUCAAACCUGCAUCCUUACAGAGACUGUGCUGGGUCCUUAACUCCCUGAGCCACAAUAGGAACUCCUGUCUGUUUUUUUCACACUCUGUCUUAUAGAAUAGUUCUUUGUACAUGGUACAUUCUUUAGUAAGUAUUUGUUAAGUGAAUGAAUAAUGACAAAAUUCCCUAAGUCUCAGCUAGACAAAUAGGAAGUAUAAUCUCCUUCAUUUAAAUUGAUCAUAUGAUUUGGACAAUUGGAAUUUCAGUAGAAAUUCUUGACUUUAGAAUUGAAGACUCCCCUAAGCUUGUUGGCUAGUAUAGGGAAUCUUAGUAACAAAGGGCAUAAAGUCACAUAGUUUAUGAUAGUUUUAAUCAUAGUUUAUGAUUUUUUGAAGAUGAAGGAGAUGUGGCAUUUCUUGCAUCACAAUGUUUUGAGCAAAGUGUAGCCAGUUCACCUUGAGUGUGCACAAAAGCCAGCCUUGCCGCCUCCUGCUAGCUUUUGUUGGUGCAAGUAUGCCUGGCAGUUUGACUUGAGAAUGGCAUUAAGGACUUGCCAUGGUGCUGACAUGAGAAGUGAGAAAUGGCAAGUGCAUGGAACUAGCACAGGGAGCAAAGGGUCAGUGUUUCAAUACCAGCCAUGGCUUAGUUGAUAAGAUACUGCAAAUGAGUACUUCAUGUGUGUGUGUGAGUCUCUGUGUGUCACAUAAGAAGCAUAUAUUGUGUUAUGUGCACAAUGGCCAGUGAAUUUGAUGCCUCUGUUAUGGAUGCUAUUGGAUGUGUCAGAACUUCUUCCAUUCCCUUCUGUCUUGAGGUGUGUGGAAAUUUCUCCUGUGCCAUCCUUUACUUUGAUAAAGGAAUUGAAAAUAAGGUCUCCUCUCUUUGCUUUUGACUUCUCCAUUCAUAUAAUUGGUUUUCCUCCUUUGCUCAGUGCUCCCUAUGGUCACAUCAUAUUACAAAUUAUUAUAUAAUAAAAGUUGUUGCCUUGUAUUUUCUUUCCUACCUGUUUCCUACAGAACUUGGGAGAAAUAAAAGGAAUUGACCCAGGUUAAGAUGACAAAAAUAAUUAUCCCUCAUUUAAAAGAAGAAAAGUUUACAUUAAUAGACUAAUUCAAAUUUAUUUAAUUUUGCACAGAAUUAAAAAAAGCAUCUCACUGAAAAGUAACAUGAAAAAGAAUAUUAAAAUUCUUGAUAAGUUAAGGGGUUAGAAACUACCAUUUAUUGACUAUGUAUAGGGUACCAUCUAGAAAUUCAGUAACUGAGCUGAGAAAUUGAUGUUAUCCCAUUUUACAGGGAAAGAAACCAAGCUUCAGGGAUGUUAAUAAAUGCUGAGGACAUAUUAGUAGGAAGUGGGAGAGGCUGGAUUUGUAUUUAAAUGUGUCUGAUUCCAACUAAACUUUACUAUGCUGGUUUCCAACUGUCUUUAAAUUCAGAGUGUUCUUAAAAUUUCAGUACUGUACAUUCUAAAUUGAAAGCACUGUAUUUCAUUUCUAAGUAAGAUCAUCUUUUCCCUUUGCCAGAAAUAAUAUCUUUGAUUGCUCUAGCGCUUGGUUUGUAUGAAUUGCUUUCCUUGUUUUCUCAAUGCCAUGCAGGGAUUUAAAGUUCCUUGCUGUUAAAAACAGAGAUGAGUUACCUCAUUUUUGAAAUUCCUACACUGAGUUUCAAAAGCAAAAACAUGUCAUUAGGAGCUUAGGCUCAGAAUCUGAAUUUCAUCUUCUCUGCUUACUUACUGCAUAAUAGUGGCCACAUUCCUUAAUUAGGCUGUACCUCAAUAUCUCUAUCUGUAAAACAGAGGUAAUAUCAUCAAUAUAAAGAUUAAAAUAGUUAAUGUGUUAAUACAAUUAAAGUGCUUUUAAACAGAGCCUGACACACAAACAUCACCAAUAAAAUUUUUAUUUCUACCCAGGCAUGGCAAUCAUAAAGAGACAAUCAUUUUCAUUUUCUGGAACAUAGGAUAUUAGUUUCCUAAGGAUCCUUUCCUUCCAUGUCUUCCUGUUAACUAUCUGCUAGGGUUAUACCAGCUGCGCAUGGUGCUUUUUCACUCAAGAGGAAGACAUCUGAAAAUAGGCCUGUCUGUCUCUUUUAUUUUUAAAUUCAUACAUUUGUAAUGAAAAAAGCAAACUGAUCAUCAUUGGAGGAUCUUAGUGGACCAACUCAGUAUUUUGAAAAUUGGUCAGUACAGCAACAUACUAAAGGCCUAUCCUUCAUUUCCUGUGUGGACUGUCCUACUAGAUAAUCAAUAGUAGAAAAGGAAUUAUUUCUUUUCACAGAAGAGUGCAUGGAUCUAGGCAUUGGACAUCAAUACCCCUAAGAUCAAAGAGAGACAUAGAUAGAUAGACAGAUAGAUAGAUAUAUAGAUAGAUAGAUUAUGUGAUUCCAUUUAAUUGAACAUACCAUCAAUAAAGUAGUCUUAUUAAACACUAUAAUUUAUGGAGUUCCCAUUGUGGCUCAGCAAUAACGAACCUGAUUAGUAUCCGUGAGGACAUGGGUUCAGUCCCUAGCCUUGCUCAGUGGGUUAAGGAUCUGAUGCUGCUGUGAGCUGUGGUGUAGGUUGCAGACAUGGUUUAGUGUUGCUUAGGCUGUGGUGUAGGCAGGCAGCUUCAGCUCUGAAUUGACCACUAACGUGGGAACUUCCAU
rnacentral:lncRNA from 1 species